AGCGAACGCUGGCGGCAGGCCUAAUACAUGCAAGUCGAACGGGAUCUUCGGAGCGAGUGGCGCACGCGGGUGUAACGCGUGGGAAGCUGCCCGUGGGGGUGGGAUAACUUCUGGAAACGGAAGCUAAUACCGGGGGAUGACGUAAGUCCGAAGAUUUAUCGCCCAGGGAUGAGCCCGCGUAGGAUUAUGUAGUUGGUGAGGUAAAGGCUCACCAAGCCGACGAUCCUUAGCUGGGUUGAGAGGAUGAUCAGCCACACUGGGACUGAGACACGGCCCAGACUCCUACGGGAGGCAGCAGUAGGGAAUAUUGGACAAUGGGCGCAAGCCUGAUCCAGCCAUGCCGCGUGAGUGAUGAAGGCCUUAGGGUUGUAAAGCUCUUUUACCCGGGAUGAUAAUGACGGUACCGGAAGAAUAAGCUCCGGCUAGCUUCGUG
rnacentral:rRNA from 1 species